CGUCCCGUAACGAGCGCCAACCCUUGUCCUUAGUUACCAGCACGUUAUGGUGGGCACUCUAAGGAGACUGCCGGUGAACAAACCGGAGGAAGGGUGGGGAUGACGUCAAGUCAUCAUCGGCCCUUACGGCCGUGGGCUACACACGUGCUACAAUGGUCGGUAACAAAGGGUUGCCAAGCCGCGAGGUGGAGCUAAUCCCAUAAAACCGAUCGUAGUCCGGAUCGCAGUCUGCAACUCGACUGCGUGAAGUCGGAAUCGCUAGUAAUCGUGAAUCAGAAUGUCACGGUGAAUACGUUCCCGGGCCUU
rnacentral:rRNA from 1 species